UCCAGGUCAGACAAUGGUGCGGCGACACUACAGAGCUGUGAACGAAGACGGUGAACGGCGAGAUGUGGUGACCGCUUGACUGACCUGUGCCCAAAGUCGUGAUCUACCGCUGGGGUCAGUGCGUGAGAAGCUGGACUCGGCAACAACGGAGGACGCAGAUCGACGAGGAAGAUACGCUGUGUUGAGGGACGUCUGCCGGUUACGACCGGAAGGCUUCCGACGGGACUUGGCAGAACCCACAACAGCAGUAUGAACCCGGCGUGGAGUUAAUGCGUAAUUGCUCGCAUGAGCAACCGAAGAGCGACUUCCAGGCGAAGCUGCCGCAGAAUUCCUGGAGAUGCGCUGGGACAUGGAUCAUAGCAAGGUGGCUCUCAGCGGCAGCUGACCGCUGAGAUGUGUCUGAAACAGCCAGAAGGAAGACUCGAGUUGUGGAUCCAGGGCACUACUGAACGGAAGGCCGGACCAGCUGUAGGGAGACGACAGAAAAGCCGUCGUUCUCAAUCUGCUGAACAGACUCCUACUGCAGAGGAUCAACUGGGGUUCGACGUGUUAGAACUGGGGUUAGACCGGUUACCAGUGCUCGUGUUCGUCACCUGUUGUUUGUCACUGCUGCGCUGCUGUUGUAAUGUUUGCCACCUGCUAAGCGUUCACAAUGUAUUUUAAGUGAAUAAUAACUUUUUUAGUGUUUGUCUUGAUUUGUAACGAGUAUAUCAAUUAUCAAGCAUGUUAACCUUUCAUCAAAUGAAGGACUCCACAUAAAAAUAGUAUAGGCUGUGGUGGUACAGACACAUACCAUGCUUGGCCGACUGUUGUGCAUUGAUCUAGUCGUUGAAGCGUCCUGAAAGUCUGGAAAUAAACAGGCAUGGCCAAAUGGAU